rnacentral:rRNA from 1 species
AGUGAACGCUGGCGGUAGGCCUAACACAUGCAAGUCGAACGGCAGCACAGUAAGAGCUUGCUCUUACGGGUGGCGAGUGGCGGACGGGUGAGGAAUACAUCGGAAUCUACUUUUUCGUGGGGGAUAACGUAGGGAAACUUACGCUAAUACCGCAUACGACCUACGGGUGAAAGCAGGGGAUCUUCGGACCUUGCGCGAUUGAAUGAGCCGAUGUCGGAUUAGCUAGUUGGCGGGGUAAAGGCCCACCAAGGCGACGAUCCGUAGCUGGUCUGAGAGGAUGAUCAGCCACACUGGAACUGAGACACGGUCCAUACUCCUACGGGACGCAGCAGUGGGGAAUAUUGGACAAUGGGCGCAAGCCUGAUCCAGCCAUACCGCGUGGGUGAAGAAGGCCUUCGGGUUGUAAAGCCCUUUUGUUGGGAAAGAAAAGCAGCAGGUUAAUACCCCGCUGUUCUGACGGUACCCAAAGAAUAAGCACCGGCUAACUUCGUG